CAGCGGUAAUUCCAGCUCCAAUAGCGUAUAUUAAAGUUGUUGCAGUUAAAAAGCUCGUAGUUGAAUUUCGGGAUCAAUGUUUCGGUCAUGCCGUUGGUAUGUACUGAUAUUAUUGAUUUCUCACCUUCUAAAGAACCGUAAUGCCAUUAAUUUGGUGUCACGGGGAAUUAGGACUGUUACCUUGAAAAAAUUAGAGUGUUUAAAGCAGGCUCACGCUUGAAUACAUUAGCAUGGAAUAAUGAAAUAGGACAUCCGAUUCUAUUUUGUUGGUUUCUAGGAUCGAUGUAAUGAUUAAUAGGGAUAGUUGGGGGCAUUAGUAUUCAAUUGUCAGAGGUGAAAUUCUUGGAUUUAUUGAAGACUAACUACUGCGAAAGCAUUUGCCAAGGAUGUUUUCAUUAAUCAAGAACGAAAGUUAGGGGAUCGAAGACGAUCAGAUACCGUCGUAGUCUUAACCAUAAACUAUGCCGACUAGGGAUCGGAUGAUGUUAAUUUUUUAAUGACUCAUUCGGCGCCUUACG
rnacentral:misc_RNA from 1 species